rnacentral:rRNA from 1 species
GACCACCGGGUUGAUAGGCCGGAACUGGAAGUGCGGCAACGCAUGCAGGUGACCGGUACUAAUAGGCCGAGGACUUACCACG